rnacentral:rRNA from 1 species
AUGAGGUUCGACAUUUUGGAAGAUGCCAAGGUGCAUUACAAUGCAUAUUCCUUGCAGAUGGGGUUUUCAAUCAAAAUGAAUAGUUCAAGGAAGGAUAUGAAAACUGGGGAGUUGAUAAAACAACAGUUUGUUUGCAACAAGUUUCGAAAGCCUGGUGUUGAUGACGGAGGGGCAGAAAAGAUUCCCAUGCUAGAUGACAUUGUUGAACAAGCAAAAGAUGAUAAUGAAGAUGAGGCUAUUGUCUUUCUUGAUGAUGAUAGUAAGGGCAAAAAGAGCAGCAAGAAACGAAAAAGAGAUAAAAUUGUAUAA